rnacentral:rRNA from 1 species
GACGAACGCUAGCGGCGUGCUUAACACAUGCAAGUCGAACGGAAAGGCCCUGCUUUUGUGGGGUGCUCGAGUGGCGAACGGGUGAGUAACACGUGAGUAACCUGCCCUUGACUUUGGGAUAACUUCAGGAAACUGGGGCUAAUACCGGAUAGGAACUCCUGCUGCAUGGUGGGGGUUGGAAAGUUUCGGCGGUUGGGGAUGGACUCGCGGCUUAUCAGCUUGUUGGCGGGGUAGUGGCUUACCAAGGCUUUGACGGGUAGCCGGCCUGAGAGGGUGACCGGCCACAUUGGGACUGAGAUACGGCCCAGACUCCUACGGGAGGCAGCAGUGGGGAAUAUUGCACAAUGGGCGGAAGCCUGAUGCAGCAACGCCGCGUGCGGGAUGACGGCCUUCGGGUUGUAAACCGCUUUCGCCUGUGACGAGGCGUGAGUGACGGUAAUGGGUAAAGAAGCACCGGCUAACUACGUG